AGAGAAGAUAGAAUUGUCUUUUCUUCUCGUGAUGUUCUCUCUUAUCUUCUUCCUCUUCCUUAGAAAAUUCAAAAAUCCGACUAUCAAAACAAAUAUUCUCACCAUUAUUAUAUCUUCCUCUUCAUCUCCGGUCGUAACUCUCUCAUCUUUUUGAAUUGAAGAUCGUGUUCGACUUUAAAUGAAUUAAAUGCCACAAGAAGCUUCAUCUAUGACAACAACUCAAUCUUUUGUAGGUGUUGAUUCAUCUUCUAAUAUCAAAUGCUCUUUUUGUCUACGUGAAGAAUGUUGAAAAAAUCUAUUUCCCAAUCACAAUAUCACACUCAAACCAAAAAGGCAAGGAGAAAGAGAAGGGGAAGGAGAAGGAGAAGGAGAAAGAGAAAGAGAAAGAAAGAGAAGAAAGUCAUCAGUUGUGAUGUGAAGCAACAAUAUUCAUUUGAAGGUUUGAACAUUGACGGCGAGGGUUCACAGAACUAAUGUCAUCUUUCUCCCAAUGAAUAAAUGAGGAUCUUUACAAGCAUCAUACAAAAAAAAGAGACAAGGACGAUCAACAACUUAGCAAAUUGCUCGAAUCUUGAAUUCAUACAACGUGAUUCUGUAGUUACAUUUUCAAAGAAGGACUGGUUCUACGCAAUGUCUCAAUCAAAUAGGUGAUGGACUAAUGAGGAAAUUUGUUCAAAGAUGAACGCGGAAGUUUUUGAGCGAGAAAUGGAGAACAUACCACCUAUGGAGCUUAUGAUAGUCCGUGUCGAGUCUGUGAUGGUCCGUAGGUGGCAUCAUAGUAAGGAGAGAAGCUGAUGAAAGAAGAUGGGGAAGUCUGACCUAGUGUGGGAUUACGGAAAUCCAGGACGGACCAUCAUAGCCACGAUGGACCGUCGUGAUGGUUCUUCGUAAUGAUAAGAGAGUAGCCCAGUACCCAAAUUCCAAAAAGUUAAAGUAUUAUGGAACGGAGACCCUCGACAGACAGUCUUGCUAGGAACGGUCUGUCAUACAUGUUCGUUGAGGGUAAUGAAGAAAGCAGUAGAAGAAUUUAUGAAGUAUGGGAUGACGGAGGCCAUGAUUGCCCGUGACCACUACUGUCCGUCACGAGGUCCCUCGACUUAGACGCGUUUGCACAAAUUUUAUGUAAUUAGAAUGAUUCUUUUAUUAGAUUUUUCUUUUUACUAUAAAUAGUUUGAAAAACCUCAUUUUUGGGGUUUGACUUUUCGUUAGAAGGUUAGUCUUUCAGACUUUUUGUUAGACUUUUCAAUAGUUUUUUG